rnacentral:rRNA from 1 species
UACAGAGGCCUCGAGCGUUAGGCGGAAUCACUGGGCUUAAAGCGUGUGUAGGCGGACUUCUAAGUGCCUUGUGAAAUCCCACGGCUCACCCGUGGAACUGCUGGGCAUACUGGGAGUCUUGAGCCACCUAGGGGCGAGCGGAACAAAUGGUGGAGCGGUGAAAUGCGUAGAUAUCAUUUGGAACGCCAACGGAGAAAUCAGCUCGCUGGCGGUGUGCUGACGCUGAGACACGAAAGCCAGGGGAGCGAACGGG